rnacentral:rRNA from 1 species
UACGAAGGGUGCAAGCGUUACUCGGAAUUACUGGGCGUAAAGCGUGCGUAGGUGGUGAGUUAAGUCUGUCGUGAGAGCCCCGGGCUCAACCUGGGAAUGGCGAUGGAUACUGGCUCGCUAGAGUGCGGUAGAGGAGAGUGGAAUUCCCGGUGUAGCAGUGAAAUGCGUAGAGAUCGGGAGGAACAUCAGUUGCGAAGGCGGCUCUCUGGACCAGCACUGACACUGAGGCACGAAAGCGUGGGGAGCAAACAGG